GAACGCCUAUGCCCAAUUUUAUAGAUGUCUUCUGCUGAGGGAUAGUCCAGUAGGGUCUUAGUCUGUCAUAUUUGGAAGCAGAAUUUCCAUCCCUGCCUGGCACUUUGUCUCCUGAGAGUCAUUUCUUGCCUUGGUUAAUCCAACAGCCUCCUAAACCACUCCCUGCUUAUACCCUUGCUCCUUAAGGACUCUUCUUCACAUUUCAGGCAGAGGGAUACUACAGAAACAGAAACUUGCAGGGUCUCCCCAUUUCCUGACAGUAAAUCCACAAAGUUUAAAAUGUCCUGUUCUGCCUGUCUGAAACUCCUCCUCAGCCUUGGCUUCCACGUCACAUGCUUAGGCUGGUUUGCAUCCUACUUUUCUGACCACUCCUGUUUAGAUUCAACAACUCGUGUUUACUCUUGCUCCUCUAAUCCUGAAAGCUUACAUGUCAGGGCUCCGAAUGAGGCCUUCCUGUUCCCAGGAACUGGAGAUCUGGACUCACUGCAGAAGGCGAAGAGACCCUAUCCCUGGCUUUCUCAAAAGAGCGCACACAGCGCUGACGGAAGCAUCUGCGCCCUCCUGCGCCGACGCAGCGCACGACGGGAAAGCGGAACCCAGAUGCGCGCGUCCCUGCUUCCAGCCGGGCGCGGAGAGCCGAGCGCGGUGCACACGCGCGCCGCACGGCCGGGCAUGGAGGAGCGCCGCGAGUCCCAGCCCACCGCCGGCUCUAGCGCUAUGGGCCCGGGAGGCGAACGCGGCGGCGGCGCCCCCUCUUGGGCCCCGGAGGACGCCUGGAUGGGCACGCACCCUAAGGGCCACACCUGUGUCGCAGGGAAGUUCCUAAGCUAGGGGUCAAAUUGGACCUAUAGCUGCUGGCCUGCACAACAGCUACAGCACCUUGGGAUCUGAUUUGAAUCUUCGACCUACACUACAGCUCAUGGCAACACUGGCUCCUUAACCCACUGAUCCGGUCCAGGGAUGGAACCUGGAUCCUCAUGGAUACUAGUCAGAUUCAUUACCACCGAGCCCCAAUGGGCUCAGUUUUUAAUCACUUACUGUCUUGUACUGUUAUUUGCAAUUGUGUGUAUGUUUACCCUAACAAAAGUUUUUUAGAGACAGAAAUCAGGGCUUAAUUGCCUUGUAACUCCCAGGAUACCUGUAAGAGUCUCGUACAUUAUAUAUUUAAUGAAUAAUUUUUGAUUGAAAGAAAAUAUUUAGAUUCUUCCUUCUCUAUUUGACAAUUAUAUUUUGAUUUUCAGUAUUUAGAAAUGAUGGAAUUAGAUAUAGGAGAUGCCACCCAAGUUUAUAUAGCAUUCUUGGUUUACCUGGACCUCAUGGAGAGUAAAAGUUGGCAUGAAGUGAACUGUGUGGGAUUACCAGAUCUCCAGCUCAUCUGCCUUCUCGGUACUGAGAUAGAAGGAGAAGGGGUACAGACUGUGGUGCCUACACCCAUCAAUGCAUCCCUCAGCCAUAACAGGAUAAGGGAGAUCUUGAAGGCAUCUCGAAAAUUGCAAGGUGAUCCAGAUUUGCCAAUGUCUUUUACUCUGGCCAUAGUGGAGUCUGAUUCCACCAUAGUUUAUUACAAACUUACUGAUGGAUUUAUGCUGCCAGAUCCUCAGAAUAUUUCCCUUAGAAGAUGACACCUCUACCUCCCAGUGCUUGCUUUAUUCGUACAAGAUUGGAUUGAGACCCAUCAGCCUGGUUCACCUUUAAUCUCAGAGUUAGUCAGGGUUGACUUAGCUGGUCCCAUCUCAGUCAGAAGUUUUUUUUUUUUUUGAAGAAUAAAACUUUCCCAGAUAGAAGAAUUUAUUUUGUUUAAUAAUAUAGAGUAGAUGCUGUAAACCUUUCUUGCCUGGAGACAGGUUAAUUAUAGUUGUAUACACGUUCAUGCCCAAGUUAUUUUCAGAAGGAUGGAGCACAUGGGUUUCUUCUGUUAUUGCUGCCUCUGCUAGCUCACUGUUGAGACUGGCAUCUCUUCUCUCCACUCAACUCUUUCAGUGCCUUUUGGCCACUACACUAGCUUGGAAUGACAUUUAUAUACACCUUGACACCUAGAGAAUUUACUUGAGUCUGCUUUUUCACCCCCAUUAGGAAGUAAACAUUUUCUUUCAGUUGGUUUUAAUGUUGCAAUUAUUGUUACUUCCCUCUGUGGUUGACUUUGAAUCAAAACUAAUUAUAUGCUCAUCCAGUGUGUACAAUUACAUAUCCAGAUUAAUGGGACCAGAGAAGUGCUACCUACAAGAGUAUUGGGCCUUUUUUUCAUUCUUAUAACCACCACCCUUACUAUAUCGUAACUAAGAGAGGGAGUGGGGGCAGUGUCAACCUUGAAAAUAUCUUGCUCAAGUAGACCCAGUUAUUCCACUCUUGUUAAUACCUCCCAAUUAAGUUGCCUAAAGUUGAAAAACUUAUAGGCACCAAGAUGUUUCAAGUGACAUUUUUGGGUGUAUGAUAGCCUAAAUUAUAAACCACUUAAAAGUUUAAGUCAAGGGUCAGCAAACUUUUUCUGGAAAGGACCAGAAAGUUUUUUCAGGCCAUAUAGGCUUUCUCACAACUUCUUAACUCUUCUCAACUCUGCUCUUUGUAGAACAGAAAUAACCACAGACAGUAUGUAAAUGCAUGGAUAUGGGUAUUCCAGUAAAAUUUUAUUUGCAAAUGCAGGGCCAUAGUUUGUCAACCCCUGGUCUGGGGAAAUAGUCAAUAAGAAUAUAUAGCGAAUGAAUGUUACGUUAUAUACCCAUUAAAAAUUAGUAAUGAGUAUAGUAAAAAAAACAUGAGAAAAUACUUAUUUAAAAAAAAAACUCCAAGAUAAAAAACGAAUGAAUGGGUAUGAUCCUGACUGUACAUAAUACACCAAGUAUAUAAUAAAAAGAUGACAAAAUAAAGGAACUGUGGUUAUAAUAGGAUGGCAGGGCAGUAAAUGGAUGACUUUGUUUUUCUUGAAUAUCUCAGUUUUUCUUUAUUUGUAUUACUUUUAUAAUAAAAAUGUUUUAAAAUUAAAAA